GAAAGAUAUCAUGCCCAAGAUCACACCGCUGUUUGACUCAGCUGCAAGUGGAAGUCUUAUGUAUCCAUCCCAGUCCAGUUGUGGAGGGUCCCCGAGUUAAAGCCUUGCUCCAAGCUGGAUUGGUGUUCACACUUCACACGUGCAGGAAUGGCUGCAACAAUCCUAGGCCUGAAUCAUCCCAGUGGAACUGAACAGAGAGCCUCUCCGUUGUGCCUCAUUGGCUCUGAUUGGGUCAGUUGGCCAUCCCUGAACAAAUCCCUGUGGUCAGGAGAUUGGGAUGCUCUGAUUGCUGAAGCUGAGACAAAGACCCACACUGCAAGGCCAAGGGUAAAAUCAACCCUGUCUAAACCGUAGGGACCAAGAUCUGGGAUGGAGAGAUUUCACAAAGGAAGAUCUUGUUGCCAAAGAAGGUGGAAUGGACCUUUGGCCACAAAAGGUUUGUAUGUCCACUCCCAGGGACUGACUGUUGAGGAUCUCCCGGAGAUACUGGAGCCCUUCCUAUUGUGUGGACACUUAGGCCUGGAUGCUUUAAUUGCCCUCACAGCAGUGGAGUCUGCAGGCCUGUGCUCUGAGGUACAAGAAAGGGAAAGGCCAAGAAAUGUAGCUGGUGUGGGGCUUAGCAGUCAUCCAGCCUUCUCGUUAGAGAAGCAUAUGACACCAGAGAGGGUGAGGAACUUGCCUGAGGCCACAGAAAGUUGAAGCCGAGUUGGGAUUCGAACUUAGCAGAUAAGAAGGCCAGAACGAGGCUCUGUCUGUGUGUCUGGCAGCUGUCACAUUCAUUAGCUCCCUGACAUCUAUCUCCUUGUUUCCUUGUAUAUUUUUACAAGGUUGUUAAUUACCAGCCAUAAAGCUCAGCAAACAUUUUGAUAGGCUUUAAAAGCUCAUGAAAACAACAUUACAUUUUAAGGCAUGGUUUCCUAAUUAAUCUAAUUAACUAUCAGCUUCACAUCCUGCUGGCUUCAAGACAAGGCGAGCUGUGCCUCUCAACGUCUGAUUCAGCCCCAGUGGACAGGGCUGGGGCCUUUCGAGAUCACAGUCCUCCAGCCCAGAAACUAGCCAACACGUGGCCCGAGCUGUGGGUUCUCUGAAGCAGCGUCUCGAUGUUGAGCAUUGCUCGGGCUUAUUUCCUUGGAUGAUCUGUCUCUAGGAUAAGGACACAGUGGUUGGAGAUGCCCAAGAGUAAAGCAAGCGCAUGGAUGACUAGCCACCUCAGCUUAGGACCAUCGCAGAAGGCCAA